UCCCUCGCUAAGGGGGGUUUGGAGCUUCCCCACCCUGUUUGCGGCAGCUGCCGUCCUCUCUCCAUGUGCGACACUCCUCUUUUAGUCUCUAAGACCUGAGCUUGUAACUUUUCUCUUUCUUUUCCCAUGGCCUCUACUCUCUUCCUCUGCCCAGGCUGAUCAUGAAGGCUUGGGAAGACCCUCAGGCAGUUCAUGAAGCCCAAAGCUUUUUGUUAACACUGUGACUGUCUCCAGCAAAGUGGAGGCCGGACCCUGCUAAGACUCUCUGCCUCCACUUCACUGCGUUGUUCAGGAACCUCCCCAGUCUCACCUCGGACUCCGGGCCUCUUACCCCCUUUCUGCCAGCAGAAGCAGCAAGAUGAUUAAAGAAUGGAAAUGGCUCGAGGGUGAAAUGGAUCACGAAACCUGGCCAAGAAGUUAGCAUGAAAGAAUGGGCUACCUAUGUCGAGCAAGUCUAGGACUCCCCCAAAUGAGGCCAGCUGAAAAACAGUAUAACCGGCUUUGAAAAUUAAAUUUCUUGAGCACACAUCAGCUGGGCGAAAAGAAGGUGAGCAGAAGAAAGGUAUGAGAAGGUAAGGUGGGAGAUGAUUAAAAAUGCUAAACGAACCAAAAAUACCGCCACCAACACAAAAAGAAUCCGACACUAAGCCAUUCUACUGGUAGCCCCAAUACCUAAAGACCAAUGGCCUGGGGUUGGCAGCCAUUUUUCACGUUAAUCCCAGAGGGUUAGCUACCAUACCGGCGAUCCCGAAAAGUCAAGGCAUGGAAUUGGGGACAGUGGGCUGCGGUAAAGCAACAGAGAAAAAUUGUUGCAGGGCCCGCACUUCAUCCUUGCAUCACUGCAUGCUGAGUCCACUGGUGACUGGUGUUUCUCAGCGACACAGGUCACGUCGCUCGCUCCGAGGCCCUGCUGGACAACGGAGAAGUAGCCAACAUUCUUUAAAAAUCGUGCAGGGAACUGGCUUUCAUGUUCUCUCCUGAGAACACCAUUAUCUCCCAGACGCCGCCUCCCACGGUCACCACGGUAGUCAGACCCCCGACAAAGGGACCUCAAUGCAGGUUUUUCUUUGGGAAAUCAUGGUAUUUAUGACGUCGGCUCUCCACAUGCCUAGGGAAGCACGGUUGCCCAAACAGCUGUGCAGGUUUUUUAAAAAUCUAUACUAUCAGUCACAGCUGAGAAUGAAAUAAUGAAAAAAAAAAAGUUUUUUUUCAUAUAGCUCUCAUGUUUAAUGAUCUUUUUUCUAUAAAUGGAAAAAAGUAUUUUCCUGUACAAGAGUAUCUUCAAAGCUCUAUCCUCUGUAAAGUAGAAACUUUGCAAAGUAAAAAUACUCUAUUAUACAACAUCGUAUUUAAAGUCAAAGGAUGCCGACAAGAACAGUUUGGAAAUGUAGGGUGAGGAUAAAGGAGGAGGGAAAGAGAUUUUUAAAAAACGUCUCCAGCAGUACUUCCCUGGUCGAGCCUCUGGCCCCCCCUACUCUGACCAGUCAGGAAGAGAAUAAAUAUGUUGCAGGGUUUGCUUUCAAGCGAUUCCUACUAAGGAGGAAUAGGGCAGAAGGAAGAAAGGAAAGGACAAACUCUCCCUCUUUGGACUAGUUCGUUAACUGUUUUCUAAUUAGCUUGGAUUUAGUCUCAGCAGUAGCUUCCUGAUACUCAUUUUGCCUCCCUGGCAGAGCCAGUCACGUACCCCGAUUCACUGUGGGGUGGGUGUCAUCCGGACCCUGGAGCCCGGGCCCCGGGAGGCCAGCUAACCAGCCUCAGGGCGGGGGACGUAGCCCCAAGAGCACCGGCCGAGCCCUUGGGCUCCCUCGGGGAGCUGGUGCUAGGGGGAGGGACAGGUGGUCCCCGCCCACUCAGGAGAGGGUGUCCCGCCAGGCUUUUGAGGACAGGAGCUACCGGUCACUGCGGCUGGGCUCGUGGUGGCCGAGAACUGCGGGUGAGGACCUAAGGUAGCAGGACAGGAGUCUGAAGAGGACAGGAUUCAGACUCCUGUUGGGUUUCUUAAAAGGGAAAAAAAGAAUAAAAAAAAUCCCCCCGGAGAGCCGAGAGCGAAGAGCCGCGUCCCCCCGGGCGCCGGCCGCGCCUAGUUUCCGGAAGCCGCGCCCUGGCGGCCGGCC